GACGAACGCUGGCGGCGUGCUUAACACAUGCCAGUCGAACGGAAAGGCCCCUUUGGGGGUACUCGCGUGGCGCACGGGUGAGUAACACGUGAGUAACCUGCCCUUGACUUCGGGAUAACUUCAGUAAACUGGGGCUAAUACCGGAUAGGAAUCCUUGCUGCAUGGAGGGGGUUGGAAAGCUUCGGCGGUUUUGGAUGGACUCGCGGCUUAUCAGCUUGUUGGUGGGGUAGUGGCUUACCAAGGCUUUGACGGGUAGCCGGCCUGAGAGGGCGACCGGCCACAUUGGGACUGAGAUACGGCCCAGACUCCUACGGGAGGCAGCAGUGGGGAAUAUUGCACAAUGGGCGGAAGCCUGAUGCAGCAACGCCGCGUGCGGGAUGACGGCCUUCGGGUUGGAAACCGCUUUCAGCAGGGGAGAAGCUUGUGGUGACGGUACCUGCAGAAGAAGCACCGGCUAACUACGUG
rnacentral:rRNA from 1 species